rnacentral:rRNA from 1 species
CCUACGGGAGGCAGCAGUAGGGGAAUCUUCCGCAAUGGGCGAAAGCCUGACGGAGCAACGCCGCGUGAGUGAUGAAGGUCUUCGGAUCGUAAAACUCUGUUAUCAGGGAAGAACAAAUGUGUAAGUAACUGUGCACAUCUUGACGGUACCUGAUCAGAAAGCCACGGCUAACUACGUGCCAGCAGCCGCGGUAAUACGUAGGUGGCAAGCGUUAUCCGGAAUUAUUGGGCGUAAAGCGCGCGUAGGCGGUUUUUUAAGCUGAUGUGAAAGCCCACGGCUCAACCGUGGAGGGUCAUUGGAAACUGGAAAACUUGAGUGCAGAAGAGGAAAGUGGAAUUCCAUGUGUAGCGGUGAAAUGCGCAGAGAUAUGGAGGAACACCAGUGGCGAAGGCGACUUACUGGUCUGUAACUGACGCUGAUGUGCGAAAGCGUGGGGAUCAAACAGGAUUAGAUACCCUGGUACGUCCACGCCGUAAACGAUGAGUGCUAAGUGUUAGGGGUUUCCGCCCGUUAGUGCUGCAGCUAACGCAGUAAGCACUCCGCCGUGGGGAGUUACGACCGCAAGGUUGAACUUCGAAUUGAAUUGACGGCUUGAGCGNGCGAGGCGACGACGAGGGAGGAGG